UACACGAGUUAUGCGGACACAGCAACAAUACCUGGUCACUACGUGAUAUACUGGGAGUUGUUAGUGAAAGACUCCGCUAACGCGCCUAGUGAUGAGGUCCUGAAACAGUGUUGUUUAGCAAUGGAGGAGUCUCUCAACUCAGUGUAUCGACAAGGCCGAGUUGCGGAUAACGCAAUAGGCCCACUAGAAAUUCGCGUGGUAAAAAGUGGCACAUUUGAAGAGUUAAUGGAUUACGCCAUAUCAAGAGGGGCGUCCAUCAAUCAAUACAAGGUUCCAAGGUGUGUGAACUUCACUCCAAUCAUGGAGUUGCUGGAUUCUAGGGUGGUAUCCGCUUAUUUUAGCCCAGCUUUGCCACAUUGGACCCCAGAAAGGAGAAGGUGAUUUACUGAUUUAUUUAGCCACCGACCAGAUUAAGUCAAUGAGAUGGCUAUAAUUUGUAGAUUCUCUUUGUUUUCAUUUUUUUAUCUACUUGAGUUUUUUUUUUCUUUUUUUCUUCUUUGGAGUAAGCUUUUGGUGAAAGGUAAAAGUGUAAGUUGGAUUAGGAUGUUUCAGG
rnacentral:lncRNA from 1 species